CGCCCUUAGCAGGCUUAUCACUUAAACUUCUCUGCCUAGGAAUGGCUCCUGAAUUAGUUCUGCUCUGUGUACCCUGAACCUUAGAGGCAUUCGUGGUUUGACUAAAGUAACAUUUGCACAUACAGAUAUUCAUCAGUUUGCAUGCAGCCUCUUGCCAGUACUGAAUUAGCUUUGCUGGAACCACUGAAGAUCUUUCAUUAUUUCCAUUACAAAUUUAUUUUCAGAGGCUUAUGACUCAGCUUUAAACACUUGGGGCUAAAACCAGGGAUAAGUGGCCUGGAAGAUACUACUGUCGAUUUAAUUAAAGGAACUUUUCUGCACUUUAUAAGUACUAAACAGAUGGUCUUAAUAAAUGAUGCAGCCAGAGGACAAAGCCUAAAAAAAUAAGCGUUUCCAUAACCAUACAGCAUAAGAAUGUAUGAAUUUUUGUCUUCUCAAAAUAAUCUAUCAUCUUAAAUCAGCUGACACCUUUUCCUCCUUUGCUCCCACAUCCAAUCAUCUAGGCCUGGUGCCUUUGCAUCUUUAAUAGUCCCGAACCAGUUUCUCCACUCCACUAUCACCCUGCCUAUCUAAGUAACAUCAUGCCCCACCUAAACUAUUUCAGCUCCAGCAGAACUAUCUGCUCUUGCUCUCAACCAGUUCAUACUUCCUGCAGGCAGCCAGAGUGGUCUCUUCAAAAUACAAAUCUGAUCACCUCUCUCCUAUACUUAAAAAUCCUUUGAUGGCUUCUCACUGCUCGAAAGACCUAGCCUUCAGCAUGGUCUACAAGACCCAUACUGACCUCGGCCUCCUCCCUCUACCUCAUCUCUCACUUCCCAUGUUCUAACUACACUGGUCUCCCGGUUCCUUAGUUCACCAUGCUACCUUCUCCCUCAGGACCUUUGCACAUACUCCUCCCUCUCAGGAGUGCCCCCUCCUAUACCCUAGAUCAACUACUACUCUUCAAAUCUUCAGAUUUCAACUUAAGUCACUGCUUCAGGUACAGCUUUUAUAGCCCCGCUCCUCUGUGUUCUUAACCCCUGUGGUUUUUCUUCACAGCAGGUGGCACAAUUUUUAUUUAUACAUUUGUGAAGUCUGCGUGAAUUGUGUUGGUGGUGUUUUUCCACUAGACUGCAAGAUCCGUGAGGUUAGGAGCAAGGAGUGUUUCCUCAACCAGCCCUAGCACAUAGUAGGCACUCAAAAAUGUUUGUGGAAUAAAUCAAAUCAUACACAGUAGGGUACGAUUUGAACAAUAAGAUCAUUGUUCACAUCAUUCACCCUCAGAGAAAAUGGCAAGAGGCCCAGAGAGAUGGGAAGGAGAUAAAUGUGUUUCUCCUGUCUUGACCAUUGAUAAUGAGCUUGGCAGUAGUGUCCUCCACCUCUGGGCAGAUCUAAAGGAGGAAGUAGUUAGGUUAAAAAAAAAAAAAAAAAGGACCAGGUUGCAACAGACUUUCAGUGCCUGGAAUAUUGAAAGUGCAGGACAAAAAGGGGUGCAGAGUACAAGCUUGCCAGCAUGGAGGCAGAACCUGUACUUGGUAAACUGGAUUGUUGUAGCCCAUUUCAGGCCAUUUACAGGGAUUUACAGGUAUCUAAAAAGCUCACAUGUGGAUCAGCGUUGAAGAAGGCAGGCGUCUCACAGUGUGUGGAAGUGUCUGCAAUUAUAAUCACGGUAAAAGAACUAGAAGAGCGCAGGAAAACUUAGGUGUCAGACUCUUCCCUAGGGACAUGUUCCUCUAGUGGUGUAUCUGAGAAGCUCUUACGUUAGUUUUUAUUAAUUUUAAGACAGUCCCUUCCUUAUGUUCUUAUGACUUACAAGCUACACCUUAAAUUGCUUAGUUAAUAUCUGAUUGCAAAGUUAACAGAAGGCCAAUUACGUUUCAAAGUCUUAAAAAAGGCUGGCUUUUGUCCUUGACAAAUGACAAAAAUCACACUGGAUCCGUGGACAAACCUUAUCUAAUCAGUUGGACCCAAAAAAGAUAUCCCCACCUCCCACAGCUAGUGAACGAUUAGCAUUGUGGCUGGUACUUUCUGUGUAUCAGCACUAAUAAAAUAUUUCCAAAGAAAUGGGCAUUCCCGCGGACGCUCCACCACCUCUUACAAAGACCUGUUAUCUGAACUGUAGGACAUUCUGUAGCUAGUUUUGUCAAUCUUUCCUCAAUGCCUUUCCCAGAAAGUGGGGUUUUAUCACUUGUAGCUUUCUGGGAAAGGCCAUCUGGUGACUUCAAACACGCUCUCUCAAACCGCUGCACUGUUCAGCUGCCCCUUGUCAGUAAGUCAUUUUGCAAGCACGAUCAUAAAGGGAUCGCCAUCAGUCCAUGGGGGCCGAGAGGCUGGAAACCACACAGUGAGAAGGAAAAUUUGGUACUUUUUACUAUUAUUUGCUUGGAUGACUUAGGUGGGAAUCUACCCCCAAGUCCUAGAGAUUCCACUGCGGUAGACCUCAAAUACCGAAAUGUAAACCUGACGCCCUCACACAGGCAGGACCUGAUAAGGAAAUCGCCUCCUAGGAUUCUCAUUCUUGAUGCUUUCUCUCUGAACUUCCUGAUGCUAACUUUUCAGCAGGCGAGGGCUCCUUAAGGAGGUGGACAUGUAAAAGAAGGGUCCAGGUGUAAGGUGCAAAUACCACUGGGCUGGAGGAGCUCGCCUGGAAAGCCAGUAUUUCGCUUUCACUUGAGCUAAUCGGUAGAAAGCCCUCCAGGGCUAAAAAGCAACCUCAACCUUAUUCGUGGUCUGAGUUUCUGUUCGAGAACUGAGGAUUUCGGAUUUUUGCAGCAAUACUCCAUCCUUAUUGCCUCCCCCAGACCUAAUUUUUGCUACUUGAUGGCGGUUCCUUAAUUUCUGUUUUGGAAACACCUUUUCUGCAUUUGAGGCCAUAAUUAUACCCCAAAGGAUACUGACAGAUGUUUAGGUAGCCACAUGCCCCACCAUGAUGAAAUAAUUUUUGUGCCUCUAUCUCCCAGUAAACAAAGAUGUCUAUUA